rnacentral:tRNA from 1 species
UGGCUCAGUGGUAGAGUGCUUGCCUUGCAUGCAUGAGACCCUGGGUUUGAUUCUUAG